rnacentral:lncRNA from 1 species
GGUGUGAACUGUGAUGACAAAAUGACCAAUUUGCCCCUCACCAUUUUCGUUUUCUCCCCAAUCUUGCUCAUCUGCCUCCUCUUCUCUUUCAUUUUUCGCGCCUUGAUCGGCAGUAGUUCGUCUCCAUUUUCUUCUCCACCUGUUCCCCUCUCCUCCUGCACCCUCAUCGCCCCUCUAUUUCGGCGACAGUAGGGAGAAAAUCAAGAUGGGCGUGGAUGGAGAGGUGGGCAAGGGUGACGGCAAAGACGAGGCGACGGAGGAGGGCGAGGGGGUGUUUAUAGGCGCGGAUGGAGAUGUGAGAAAGGGCGAGGCAGCGGAAGAGGGCGAGGUGGCCAGGCAGAGAAGAGCGAGGCAACAAUGUUGAAGAGAGAAGGAUGAGGGUAUUUUUGGUAUAAUAAACUAUAUAAUAAUAUUUUAUAAACAGAACUGUAACGAAGCACUAACGGCAGGGGGUGAAGUGAACAUUUUUUAUUUUACAAGGGGGCAAAGUGUAGAUUUUUAAAUGACGGGAGUGAAAGUGAAAACAUGGGUAUUGACAGGAGGGUUUCUGUACUUUAACAUUUUAAAAAACUAAAUUCAUCUAUUAUAUUCUAUUAAAAAAUUUUCAUCAUAUCCUACCUCAAAUUUAAAUAAUUGUUGUCGAUGAUAAUUAUAUAGUCUAUUUUUUAUUGUAUAAAAUUUGAGUUUAAAUCGUGAAUUAAAUUUAAUUUUGGAUAUCAAAUUUGAUUUUGAAUUAAAGGCAUAUUAAAAUUUUGAUACUUUUAGUUUAAAACACAUACUUAAAUUUUAAGUUCGUUAAAAUUCAAAAAACAUUAAAAAGUAUUCAAUAUAUCAUUAAAUUUUAACUCAUAUUUGAGUGUCCGGCUACUACACUAUUAUGAGUACGAUCGUUCUCGUACUCAUAAAUCAUUUUCGAUGAUAGAGCUUCCGAAUCGACGAUCCAUACCAUUAAACGUUAUUUACAGUAUUUAAAACUUCUAGAAAUCAAAUUUUAUAAUUUUUCGACAUCAUUUACCUUACGAUCAAGAGAUCACAAAUUUGACAAUUUUUAAUGGCCGGUAUGGGAUACUUGCUAGUUUAACAGUGUAAAAGAAUCGGAAUUUGUUGAAUUUUUGAUAGAAAAUUCUAUUUACUACCUAGAUAAAGAUCAAUAACUCCGAUCUUGAAUUGAAGGAUCCGAUCAUCCUUUUUUAGGACGUCGUUCGAUUUUGACCAUUCAUUUUAUGCCCGCUUGAUGGACUUUAUUAUGAUUUCGAAAUUUUACGAAAUUUAUUUUUGUAGAAAUCUCAAAUACUCUAGAUCAUAUUUAACGGAGUGGAUCGUCGAUUCGGAAGCUCCAUCAUCAAAAACAACUUAUGAGUACGAGGGCUCCAAUACUCAUAAUAGUAUAGUAACCACGGUCCAUAUUUGAAAUUAAAUUCACACUUUUUUUUUUUGAGAGAUAGGUAGCAUGCUACCCGCUUCGUUUUUUUCAUUUAGAAAUAAACUUAGCUAGAAAUGUGAAUCAAUUAGGAUUCGAACUUGGGUCUCGGGUACGAACCACCAAGUCCUUUGCCACUUGCUCUAGGGACG